rnacentral:rRNA from 1 species
GACGAACGCUGGCGGCGUGCUUAACACAUGCAAGUCGAGCGGUAAGGCCCUUUCGGGGGUACGACGAGCGGCGAACGGGUGAGUAACACGUGGGUGACCUGCCCUCAGUUCUGGGAUAAGCCUGGGAAACCGGGUCUAAUACUGGAUAUGACCUCAUGACGCAUGUUGUGGGGUGGAAAGCCUUGUGCGACUGAGGAUAGGCCCGCGGCCUAUCAGCUUGUUGGUGGGGUGAGGCCUACCAAGGCGACGACGGGUAGCCGGCCUGAGAGGGCGACCGGCCACACUGGGACUGAGACACGGCCCAGACUCCUACGGGAGGCAGCAGUGGGGAAUCUUGCGCAAUGGGCGAAAGCCUGACGCAGCGACGCCGCGUGAGGGAUGACGGCCUG